rnacentral:rRNA from 1 species
GGCGGCGUGCCUAAUACAUGCAAGUCGAACGGUCGUUUCUAUGGAAGCUUGCUCCACUGAGAAGAUAGUGGCGAACGGGUGAGUAACACGUGGGUAACCUGCCCAUAAGAGGGGGGAUAACAUCCGGAAACGGGUGCUAAUACCGCAUAGUUUUCUUGAUCGCAUGAUCGGGAAAGGAAAGACGGCCUUUGUGCUGUCGCUUAUGGAUGGACCCGCGGCGUAUUAGUUAGUUGGUGAGGUAACGGCUCACCAAGACGAUGAUACGUAGCCGACCUGAGAGGGUGAUCGGCCACAUUGGGACUGAGACACGGCCCAAACUCCUACGGGAGGCAGCAGUAGGGAAUCUUCCGCAAUGGACGAAAGUCUGACGGAGCAACGCCGCGUGAGUGAAAGAAGGUUUUCGGAUCGUAAAACUCUGUUGUCAGAGAAGAACAAGUUGGAGAGUAACUGCUCCAGCCUUGACGGUAUCUGACCAGAAAGCCACGGCUAACUACGUGCCAGCCGCCGC